rnacentral:rRNA from 1 species
UACGGAGGGUGCAAACGUUGCUCGGAAUCAUUGGGCGUAAAGCGCGUGUAGGCGGCUCGAUAAGUCUGCUGUGAAAGUUCAGGGCUCAACCCUGAAAUGCCGGUGGAAACUGUCGGGCUAGAGUCCGGAAGAGGCGAGUGGAAUUCCUGGUGUAGCGGUGAAAUGCGCAGAUAUCAGGAGGAACACCAAUGGCGAAGGCAGCUCGCUGGGACGGUACUGACGCUGAGACGCGAAAGCGUGGGGAGCAAACAGG